UACGUAGGGUGCAAGCGUUAAUCGGAAUUACUGGGCGUAAAGCGUGCGCAGGCGGUUCUAUAAGACAGAUGUGAAAUCCCCGGGCUCAACCUGGGAACUGCAUUUGUGACUGUAGAGCUGGAGUACGGCAGAGGGGGAUGGAAUUCCGCGUGUAGCAGUGAAAUGCGUAGAUAUGCGGAGGAACACCGAUGGCGAGGGCAAUCCCCUGGGCCUGCACUGACGCUCAUGCGCGAAAGCGUGGGGAGCAAACAGG
rnacentral:rRNA from 1 species